GUGGUACUGGGGAAGCGGGAAGGUUGUGGGGGUUGGCAGGGGUCCCCCCAUGGUCCCCCCCGCCCCCCACUCCUAGUACUUACCAGCUAAACCCACACACCCAUUGAUGAGGAAGGACAAUCCCAGCUCCGGAUUAAGGACUAUGCAGAGUGUCAUCCCCAAUCACACAUAAUCCCAUUUGUAUCCAGCCUUUGUCCCACAUCCCUGCUCAGAGGUUAAGACAAGGGAAAGGAAUUCUCGUUUGGGAAGAAACGAGUGACCUCUCCUCUUUUACUGUCCUCCUCGUGCUGUCUGCUGGGUCCCAUCUUGUCCUGCUCUGUCAUUGCAUCCUUUGCCCAGGGGCAAAACAACUUGUCAGUGCUUCCCCUUAGCAGUUCUCUGCUGUACGUGGUGGAGACUCAUUCAUCCCCUCCUCUGUUGCUUGCCAAGGUCUGUAUGCUUGGCAGCCCCUCUGCUCACCCAGCGUUCAGAAGCUCAGGGUGGCAUCUCGGGUAAAGGACCAAUCUCCAUCAGGUGUCAUUUCAACUCAAAACUGAUUUCUCUUCAGACCCCUUGGGUGCAUGUGCCCUUCUUUGCAGGGUGAGAGCUUUCUGUAGACAAAGCAUUUGACCCCAUGGACAUCCUGAUGAGGAUGGGAAAUCAGAGCAAUGAAUAUAUAGCGAUGUGGAGCGUCAUCUCGGGUCACUGGUGCUUCCAUCAUGACACUCGGUGAGCAAAUUCUCUCUUCCAGGUUCAGUCGGAGGGAAGGAAAAUCAGUGGAUGAUGGCACUGCAGGGUGCUGGACUUUCAGAUAGUUUCUAAACUCAACAAAAGUUGAAGUGCUCACCGGUGCCCUGGGAAAUACACCUUGUGAGAUGUUUGUCAUGGGGGACAGUGGGCUUUGGCCAAAUCUGGGGACUUAUUUGGGGUCUCUACAAAGGCACGAGAGAGAGGCAGAUAGCAGAGGCAGACACACACUGUGGGUAAAUGUGAUCCCACCUGACUAGCUGGUGUUUCACAUAACCUACAUCACCGUGCUGCAUUAAGAACUACAUGGGCUCAUUCUGUGAUGUUUCUAGUAAGUGGGGGAGGUCGAGGCAGCAGCAGCCAGGGAGCAGGGAGCAGAUUUGCAUGAAGGAACAGAUCUCAGGUCCGGGAGUCAGAGAGAGACUUGGAGGGUCCCAGCGAGAAACUUCCUCGGCUCAGGAAGCUGUCCCAGUCUGGAUUCCCACCAUAACCCCUCUCCUCCUUGUGCUGCUCACGUGCUGCUCGGGUAACUCAUCAAAGGCCGUGUGCUGCAGAUUACUUUUGCAGACCUUCCUGGGUUGAACAGAGAAAUGGGGAGCCCGCUGUACGAGAGGAGAGUAAAGGAACUGCCUUGUCCUGCCUUGUGAGAAGCAGACCGAGAGCGGAGAUGACUGCUCUCUGCAGUUACAUCCAAGAGCCAAGAGCCAUGCAGAAGAAAAGGAGAGUGCCAGCUCCAGAAAAAAUUAUGUCAAAUCAAGGAAAUGGUCAACAGAGAACUGCCACGCUCGUCACAUGUACACGUAUCUCAGAAGCCAGUAAAGGCAAGAAAGCUACAUAGACGUACAAAAAACUAGAGCUCUUCCUUCCAAAAUGAUACCUUUCAUGACACCAACUGGAGAAUCACAAGAAAAUUGUCCUUUUCUGCAAGCUUUCGGGAUCAAAGUCCCUUUGUCAAGCUCUGGGGAAAGUAUAGGUGGUACAAGAUGGUAAGGAGUCCCUCUAGGUAGGAAAUCAACUUCAUUUUUGGACGGAGGGAGCUGGAGAUGGAAGACUGUCCCUCUGGGGCCGUGAGAGUGUCUUUGUGAGCUGUGCCAAGUAGCUCUUUGCUGUGUUGGUCAGGUAGGACUCCUUCCCUGGAGGUGUCAGAUGGCAAGCGGGGAAGUAACAAAAACUUCCUUCUUAUUCUGCAAUGAAGUUUAAAACCCCAAAAAGAAAGCUACAUACGCAUUUCAAUUGACAUAGCAGCUACAGGGAACAAAAGGCUAAAUAUGCAUCUGAAGAGAAACUUGUAAAAGAUACAGAAAAAAUGUCCUGUAUGUGACAAACACUCUCCCAACUAACAUCCUAAGGGGUAGGGCGUUCAAAAUGUCUGAACCAUUCGAUGUAUGUCUGGAGCUUGAACAACAAACCUUCACCUGUACAAGCUACUGCAAAUGUGCCCAGUUGAUACACAGAUACCCCAAGACAGGUUUGGUGACACCUCUAAGUAUCCGGUCCAACUGCUCAGACCUACUAUUAUAGGGCCUGCAGAGAUGCACAAGUUUUACACCUAGACAAUGCAAGAACAGGAGCCAGGCAGUUACUAGUUGUGAUAUGAUGAUCAACACCCUUUUCUCCCUGUUUGUCUGGACUCUAAGUGGCCAACUAUCAAGAAAAAAUGCUUUGAAGUUAUACAAUGAAACAGUAUAAGAACUAACAGAAUUUGCCAGCAAAGUGUGCGCUGCAGGAGAAGCAGAGAGAGAUCACUGCUACAUCGCACCCAGCGUAACCAGCACCGGAUCCUGCGUGGGGAAAGCUGCACAACUGGACCAGCUUCCUUCGCCGGCAUUGGUGAGAGAACGCUGUUGCUGCUGAAUAUGUACUAGGACUUUGUGGGGUAGCUCCUUUUAUUUUGGGAAGGAGUCUUUUUCUGUCAUUUGGUUUGAUAAGCUUGCUUGUGGUCUUGUUAUUAAAGCCUUUCUGCUAUUGGACAA